rnacentral:misc_RNA from 1 species
GUGAAGAACGUAGCGAAAUGCGAUAAGUAAUGCGAAUUGCAGAAUUCAGUGAAUCAUCGAAUCUUUGAACGCACAUUGCGCCCGCCAGUAUUCUGGCGGGCAUGCCUGUCUGAGCGUCAUUUCAACCCUCAUGCCCCUAGGGCGUGGUGUUGGGGAUCGGCCAAAGCCCGCGAGGGACGGCCGGCCCCUAAAUCUAGUGGCGGACCCGUCGUGGCCUCCUCUGCGAAGUAGUGAUAUUCCGCAUCGGAGAGCGAUGAGCCCCUGCCGUUAAACCCCCAACUUUCCAAGGUUGACCUCAGAUCAGGUAGGAAUACCCGCUGAACUUAAGCAUAUCAAUAAGCGGAGGA